rnacentral:rRNA from 1 species
AACGCGAAGAACCUUACCUGGGCUUGAACCGCACAGGACCAUCUUUGGAAACAGAGACUUCCCGCAAGGGACCUGUGUAGAGGUGCUGCAUGGCUGUCGUCAGCUCGUGCCGUGAGGUGUUGGGUUAAGUCCCGCAACGAGCGCAACCCUUACUCGUAGUUGCUACCCGCAAGGGAGAACUCUACGAGGACUGCUCCGGAUAACGGAGAGGAAGGUGGGGAUGACGUCAAGUCAGCACGGCCUUUAUGUCCAGGGCUACACACGUGUUACAAUGCACGGUACAGACUGUUGCGAACCCGCGAGGGGGAGCUAAUCGGAUAAAACCGUGCUCAGUUCGGAUUGCAGUCUGCAACUCGGCUGCAUGAAGCUGGAAUCGCUAGUAAUGGCGUAUCAGAUCGACGCCGUGAAUACGUUCCCGGGCCUUGUACACACCGACGCGUA